AAUCAACGCUGGCGGCGUGCCUAACACAUGCAAGUCGAACGCGAAAGUCCCGCAAGGGAUCAGUAGAGUGGCAAACGGGUGAGUAACACGUGGGUGACCUGCCUUCGAGCGGGGGAUAACGUCCCGAAGGGACGCUAAUACCGCAUAACAUCCUGCCUUUGAAGAGGUGGAGAUCAAAGCUGGGGAUCGCAAGACCCGGCACUUGAAGAGGGGCCCGCGCCUGAUUAGCUA
rnacentral:rRNA from 1 species